rnacentral:lncRNA from 1 species
CCUGACCUUUCUUCUGGUUUUCUGAUAGAGUAUUCCGGAAUCUCUUUUGGGUCUCUUCCCAUUCCUUUUAUCUUUUUGUGUAAUUUUCUAAAUUUCUGGUUUUAGAUUUGAUCUUUGUGUGGAUAGAGUCAUUGUGAUUUUUUUUAUUAGAAGGGUAUGGUUGAGAUCAGUGUGGUCUAUUGAAGUAACUACAUAAUACUCUUCGAGGGUUAGGGUUUUAUGUGGUCUUUUCUUUUGUACAGAAAAGUACAUUGUUCUGACCCCCUAAAUCAAUCGAUUCAUUGAUGCUAAUGAUUCUUUUGAGUUUUGUGAUUCUUGAGGAAUUAUCGGUGUUUGUGUGUUCUAAUUUUUUGGGUUCCAAUUAUAACAAUGGUAUCAGAGCCAUUCUUAG